GACGAACGCUGGCGGCGUGGAUUAGGCAUGCAAGUCGAACGGUAUCAUCCUUUCGGGGGUGAGAGAGUGGCGAACUGGUGAGUAACACGUAGGUUAUCUACCCUCAAGACGGGGACAACCCAGGGAAACUUGGGCUAAUACCGGAUGUGAGCAACUUUUAGUUGUUUGAAAGGUGGCGUAAGCUGUCGCUUGGGGAUGAGCCUGCGUCCUAUUAGUUAGUUGGUGAGGUAACGGCUCACCUAGGCAAUGAUAGGUAGGCGGCCUUAACGGGUGGUCGCCCACACUGGGAUUGAGAUACGGCCCAGACUCCUACGGGAGGCAGCAGUCGAGAAUAGUCUACAAUGGUCGGAAGACUGAUAGUGCGACGCCGCGUGAACGAUGAAUCCCUUCGGGGUUAAAGUUCUUUUAUAUGUGAGCAGUGCUUCUUAUAUUAACAGUAUGGGGAGAGAGAUAUUAGCAUAUGAAUAAGCAACGGCUAACUCCGUGCCAGCAGCCGCGGUAAACUCG
rnacentral:rRNA from 1 species